rnacentral:snoRNA from 1 species
CCCAGCUCUAGGCAACUACCUAGAUUGCAUUACACCUAGGAAAGUGUUACAUUGCUGGGAGGACAGCAGCUAAUGGCUGUCAGGCAUCCUGGGCCUGGCUAAUACCAAACUGAUGUUAACUAU